UACGUAGGAGGCAAGCGUUGUCCGGAGUUACUGGGCGUAAAGGGCCCGCAGGCGGUGGAGUAAGUUUGGAGUGACAGUUCCCAGCUUAACCGGGAAAGGACUUCGAAAACUGCUCGACUUGAGGACUGGAGAGGAAGGCGGAAUUCCGGGUGGAGCGGUGAAAUGCGUAGAGAUCCGGAGGAACACCAGUGGCGAAGGCGACACGCUGGGCCGUACCUGACACUGAGGCGCGAUAGCAUGGGGAGCAAACAGG
rnacentral:rRNA from 1 species